UGGGGAAUCUUGGACAAUGGGGGCAACCCUGAUCCAGCCAUGCCGCGUGAGUGAUGAAGGCCUUAGGGUCGUAAAGCUCUUUCGCCUGUGAAGAUAAUGACGGUAGCAGGUAAAGAAACCCCGGCUAACUCCGUGCCAGCAGCCGCGGUAAUACGGAGGGGGUUAGCGUUGUUCGGAAUUACUGGGCGUAAAGCGCACGUAGGCGGACCAGAAAGUUGGGGGUGAAAUCCCGGGGGCUCAACCCCGGAACUGCCUCCAAAACUAUUGGUCUAGAGUCCGAGAGAGGUGAGUGGAAUUCCAAGUGUAGAGGUGAAAUUCGUAGAUAUUUGGAGGAACACCAGUGGCGAAGGCGGCUCACUGGCUCGAUACUGACGCUGAGGUGCGAAAGUGUGGGGAGCAAACAGGAUUAGAUACCCUGGUAGUCCACACCGUAAAACGAUGAAUGCCAGUCGUCGGGUAGCAUGCUAUUCGGUGACACACCUAACGGAUUAAGCAUUCCGCCUGGGGAGUACGGUCGCAAGAUUAAAA
rnacentral:rRNA from 1 species